CUUUCUCUCCAUUGUGAAGAUUAUUUGUAAAUAUCAUCUAAUACUUUAACUAAUUUAAUUAUUGUAACCUUUUUUUCUCAAAGUUCUCGGUCGGUCUCAACAAGAGCAAUAGGGACGCCUUGCACAUUUCCAAAUCUAUAUGGGUAUCUUUUAAAUGUAGAAAGAUGGGACUUCUUCACAGCAAGUAUCAGUUUAACCUCAACAUAGUUCUU
rnacentral:lncRNA from 1 species